rnacentral:rRNA from 1 species
AUUGAACGCUGGCGGCAGGCCUAACACAUGCAAGUCGAACGAGUGGCGGACGGGCGAGUAAUGUCUGGGAAACUGCCCGAUGGAGGGGGCUAACUAGUGGAAACGGUAGCUAAUACCGCAUAACAUGGGAUGUGCUCAGAUGGGAUUAGCGAGCAGGUGGGGUAACGGCUCACCAAGGCGACGAUGCCUAGCUGGCCUGAGAGGAUGACCAGCCACACUGGGACUGAGACACGGCCCAGACUCCUACGGGAGGCAGCAGUGGGGAAUAUUGCACAAUGGGCGCAAGCCUGAUUGAGCCAUGCCGCGUGUGUGAAGAAGGCCUUAGGGUUGUAAAGUACUGUCAGCGGAGAGGCGUUACCCGCAGAGAAAGCACCGGCUAACUCCGUGCCAGCAGCCGCGGUAAUAC